CAACUCGCCUACAUGAAGCCGGAAUCGCUAGUAAUCGCGGAUCAGAACGCCGCGGUGAAUACGUUCCCGGGUCUUGUACACACCGCCCGUCACACCACGAGAGUUUGUAACACCCGAAGCCGGUGAGGUAACCUUUUAGGAGCCAGCCGUCUAAGGUGGGAUAGAUAAUUGGGGUGAAGUCGUAACAAGGUAGCCGUAUCGGAAGGUGCGGCUGGAUCACCUCCUUU
rnacentral:rRNA from 1 species